rnacentral:rRNA from 1 species
UGAGGAAUUUUCCGCAAUGGGCGAAAGCCUGACGGAGCAAUGCCGCGUGAAGGAUGAAGGCCUGUGGGUUGUAAACUUCUUUUCUCAGAGAAGAAAAAUUGACGGUAUCUGAGGAAUAAGCAUCGGCUAACUCUGUGCCAGCAGCCGCGGUAAGACAGAGGAUGCAAGCGUUAUCCGGAAUGAUUGGGCGUAAAGCGUCUGUAGGUGGUUUGACAAGUCUCCUGUCAAAGAUCGGGGCUUAACCCCGGGCCGGCAGGAGAAACUAUCAAGCUAGAGUUCGGUAGGGGCAGAGGGAAUUCCCGGUGGAGCGGUGAAAUGCGUAGAUAUCGGGAGGAACACCAAAGGCGAAAGCACUCUGCUGGGCCGAUAUUUUCAAGACUUGUCUUGAAAAGAUACUGACACUGAGAGACGAAAGCGAGGGGAGCGAAAGG